CACCAACACGUACUUCAUCCCCCUCCCUCCAAAAGAAAAGAUGCUCUCUGAUGGUCUUGGAUUUGGGAUUCUCUCAUACAAAUCUCUUGCACAUGUUUAUUCUCCCAGGAACAACCAAUAUUGAGGAAGUUGGAAGCUACCAGAGAUUAGGAAGAUGAACUCAAAUGAGAUGAAGGUGAACCAGCAGAGAUGAGUUCUCAUCUUAAGAUGCUAUGUUUGCUGCACACGAUUUCACUCAACUAUACAAGUUAAGGAGGCAAGAGAAUAUGAAUUUCCAAGCUGAGAGUUUUAUAAAACUUAUUUGGUGUACAAGUGAACUAAUGUACAGUUUUAUAAAACUUAUUUGGUGUAUAUGUGAACUAUUGUACAUGUAAGCUUUUGGAAAUUUAUGUACACGUGGACAUUGAAAAUUA